UCCGAUAUGGUGUAGUGGUUAACAUUAUCGCCUCUCAAGGUCGUGACGCGAUAGCCUGGGGUUCGAUUCCCCAUAUCGGAA